CGCCGCGAGCCACAACCUCUGUGAGCCACUAAGCGGAGUGCGGAAAGACCGCCCCGCCAGGUCCUCCGGAGGUGACUGCCUUACCCUCCUCGUGACUGGCUACCGGAUAAAUGAGCCAAGGCCAGACAAACUGGAUUAAAUUAGCAACAAAACAUACAUGCUUGGUGGAGCACGCCUGCAAUCUCAGCACUCCAGGAGACUGAAGCAAGAAAGAGCAUUUCUUGCUCAGCUUAGGCAAUUUGUGUGAUGGUGCACAGCAGGACAGUGCUUAGAGCCCAGGUUAUCCAGAGGCAAGAGGAAAAGCAGUGGUGAUGUGGAGGUUUGGUGUUUUAUGCUUUACAUUGUGUAUCUGUGUCAAAGACUCACUCUCUUGGGCUUACCAAUAAAUCCGACCUACGGACAUUCUCCAGAAAUGGAACUCAUUUGUUAAGUCAGGGACUUACUACAGCUCAAUGCAAAGGCUGGGGGACAACAGAGUUCAAGCAAGACACAAAGAAGCGAAGAGUAUAGGCAGUCCCUCGUACAAGCAAAAUACAAAUUGAA